CGUAUUUACAGAUUCCUCCUGAAAGACAUGGGUAGUGAGAUGUUCUCACGCAAUCGCGUCUCACUAUCUUGUCUUUCAUGCGGCGUCUGUUUGCC
rnacentral:pre_miRNA from 1 species